rnacentral:lncRNA from 1 species
GUCAGUCUGGGUCCCAGUCCCUUCCCUAUGGCCCUGGCUCAGAGGCAGGUGGGCAGCGGGUGCGGAAUCUGACGAGAAGGGCUCUGACGCCCGGAGGGGAGGAAUCUCAUACAGAGGACCAACUCUGUCCUCACGGAUUCUUCCGCGGCCCUGAGAGGGUCUGGGCAUGCAGGAACUGGUCAGAUGUCUAAAGGAAGAGGACAGGGAGAGAGUGCCAGUUCCUCCCCCAGCCCUGGCUGCAGCCUCAUCUGCCUCCCAAGCUCCCACUCAUCAAGAAAGUUCCCAGACCUG